rnacentral:rRNA from 1 species
UACGUAGGGUGCGAGCGUUGUCCGGAAUCACUGGGCGUAAAGGGCGCGUAGGCGGCCUGAUAAGUAGGGGGUGAAAUCUUGCGGCUUAACCGCAAGGCUGCCUUCUAAACUGUCAGGCUAGAGCACAGUAGAGGCAGGUGGAAUUCCCGGUGUAGCGGUGGAAUGCGUAGAGAUCGGGAAGAACAUCAGUGGCGAAGGCGGCCUGCUGGGCUGUUGCUGACGCUGAGGCUCGACAGCGUGGGGAGCAAACAGG